UACGUAGGUGGCAAGCGUCGUCCGGAUUUAUUGGGUUUAAAGGGUGCGUAGGCGGCAUUUUAAGUCAGUGGUGAAAUACGGCAGCUCAACUGUCGAGGUGCCAUUGAUACUGGGAUGCUUGAGUACUGAUGAGGUAGGCGGAAUGGGCGGUGUAGCGGUGAAAUGCUUAGAUAUCGUCCAGAACACCGAUAGCGAAGGCAGCUUACUAGGAGUAACUGACGCUGAGGCACGAAAGUGUGGGGAUCAAACAGG
rnacentral:rRNA from 1 species